rnacentral:rRNA from 1 species
GAAUUAGAGAGUUUGAUCCUGGCUCAGGGUGAACGCUGGCGGCGCGCUUAAUGCAUGCAAGUCGAGCGUACCUCCCGGCUUCGGCCGGGUAGGGAAGCGGCAGACGGCUGAGUAACGCGUGAGUAAUCUACCCUUCGGUGGGGUACAGCCCCGAGAAAUCGAGGUUAAUCCCGCAUACGAUCCCUUGGCCCUGGUUGAGGGAUGAAAGCCUCCGGGCG